CCUACGGGUGACUGCAGUGGGGAAUAUUGGGCAAUGGGCGCAAGCCUGACCCAGCAACGCCGCGUGAAGGAAGAAGGCUUUCGGGUUGUAAACUUCUUUUCUGAGGGACGAAGAAAGUGACGGUACCUCAGGAAUAAGCCACGGCUAACUACGUGCCAGCAGCCGCGGUAAUACGUAGGUGACAAGCGUUAUCCGGAUUUAUUGGGUGUAAAGGGCGUGUAGGCGGGAAAGCAAGUCAGAUGUGAAAACUCAGGGCUCAACCCUGAGCCUGCAUUUGAAACUGUUUUUCUUGAGUGCUGGAGAGGCAAUCGGAAUUCCGUGUGUAGCGGUGAAAUGCGUAGAUAUACGGAGGAACACCAGUGGCGAAGGCAUCUCACGAAUCCGCGAUUGACGCUGAUGCACGAAAGCGUGGGUAUCAAACAGGAUUAGAUACCCCGGUAGUC
rnacentral:rRNA from 1 species